GUUCUGAAUCUGUUGUUAAAAAUUCUAAGAUCAUGCAAAAGUUUAUUUUUCUGUGAAAAAUUUUAAUAAACAUAGAGCGCAAGUUUUUAUGGAUAUUUACUAAAUUCAGUAAGUAAAAAUAUUUAGGAAAUAUUUUGAUUAAAGUUCUAGCCCCGAAUGCAGAUUUAGCGAAAUGCCGUAGCACAUUCUCACCAAGCAUCCUCAACCUCCAAUAAGCUGCGUGUCAGCCGUAAGUCAGAGAUUCUGCAGUGCCUUCCUCAGGCCGCCAGGACUCAGUAAUGGUGACUUCAAGAAAAAGGGACCUCCCUGGUAGAGCAGCUAAAGAUGGGAGGAAACACCCACACCCCUGAUGACUUAGUGGAGGCAGAAGGGAGCGGACCACGGCUUUUCUGUCCGUUUGCAUUGAGACUUCCUGUGGGUGUUCUGUGCUUCACUCUGCUGAAGGAUCCUGGUCACAGGUCUAAUGUGACAUCACAGGUCUAGUGCUGCAUCACAGGUCUAGUGUGACAUCACAGGUCUAGUGUGACAUCACAGGUCUAGUGUGGCAUCACAGGUCUAGUGCUACAUCACAGGUCUAGUGUGACAUCACAGGUCUAGUGCUACAUCACAGGUCUAGUGUGGCAUCACAGGUCUAGUGCUACAUCACAGGUCUAGUGUGACAUCACAGGUCUAGUGCUACAUCACAGGUCUAGUGUGACAUCACAGGUCUAGUGCUACAUCACAAGUCUAGUGCUGCAUCACAGGUCUAGUGUGACAUCACAGGUCUAGUGUGACAUCACAGGUCUAGUGCUACAUCACAGGUCUAGUGCUGCAUCACAGGUCUAGUGUGACAUCACAGGUCUAGUGUGACAUCACAGGUCUAGUGCUACAUCACAGGUCUAGUGUGGCAUCUUCCACUGCUCUGUGAUUCUUUGGUCACACAGAGAGCUCUAGACGCUGGCGUCUGUUUGCAGCGCCACAUUCAUGCUCUGCCCAGAUCCAGUUCCAGCAUAGUUGGCCCUACAGUGUCCAUCCUAGAUGGACCUGCCCAGCUCCCCCGACUUGUCCUGCCCCCAACUUGUGUCACCACAUCUAGUGCCAGCACUCCUGAUGGAACCUGACUAGCGCCAAGUCUGGUGGGACAUCACGCCCCUCCUCUAGCUGGGGACACUCCUGUGGGCCAGGCAGCCUGGGAGCUGAUUGCUUUCACUGGUGUCCUGGCUUCCUGGGGCCAAGCUCCACCUGCCAGGUCCUGCCGCUGAGCCAGCGCAUUCACACGAUGUCCUGCAGGCGGAAGUCCGCCUCCCUCCCUCACAAGCGCGUGAACUCUUCCCGUAACAGUAUUUCCGCCUGUGCAGCUGCACCGUCUCCAGGUGACCAGGAGCUCCUGGGGGCAGGGCACCUUCUGACUCAUCUUAGACCCCGAGGCCAGCACGUGAAAGGUCCCCACCCAACAUCUGUUUUAUUGAGCCUGCACCUAGUGCCCUUCACUCGCUGAGCUGAGUCAGUAACGGUUACGUUUCAGCUGUCAAACGGCGAGGCGCCGUGGCCUGGUACGAACCCUGUGCGUCUUCAGGACGUUGGCUAACCACACCCACACCUGCACAAACACUGACUGUGGCAGCGCCAGCCCUAGGACUGAAGGUUCACGGUCUCUCAGGUCCUUUGACAGCCUGUGAGCGAGACCCAGACAUUCCUGGGGCCUUCCUCCCAGACAUCACUGAGGUCUUGAGCAACACAGGGCCGGGCAGAGCCCAGAGCAUGCCCCUGACAGCCACAGGUCGCCUGGUUCAUGCUGUGUCCCAGGAUGUUACGAGCCAUCGUUAGCGAGCUGACAUGUAUACUUUCUAGAACAUUCUGGACUUUUCUCCCUGUGAACCCAGCCACAGUCCUGACCCCCUUCUUUCCUUUCAUUCCUCCUGGGUCCUCCAGACAGGGGCUCUCUCCUCGCACCCCAGGCCCCAGUGGUGUGGUGGCAGCAGCCACACCGCAUCCUCAGAGUCACGGUGCACACGUGUGCACAUGCGUGUGGAGCGUGGCAUUCCAACCCUGCCAGCGGACAGUGCAGUGGG